ACAGAACCAGUUCGUACUAUAGUCACGUGGCGAAUCAGAUAGGCACAGAAACAAGAUUCGUUUCAACUUAUCUACGACAACGUAUUUACCCGAAAUUUGCACAUGGGGUGACGAAAUCAGGUUCGUUGACUGAACGAUGAAAAAAAGGAAAAUUUUAUUGGAAAUAGAGGAAAAGCUCGAGAUUUUAGCAAUCUGAUUGCAGUCCAUUAUGUUUGAUUGAAUCAAUUGGAAAAUCCUGUACAUCGACUCCCUGACAGAACGCAAAUCAUUUCGGAAUACACGGUCUUUCGCGAACGAUUUUUUCAGAAAAUGAAACAGAACGUAAACC